rnacentral:rRNA from 1 species
AACCUUUACAAUAUGCGAAAGCAUGAUAAGGGAACUCCGAGUGCCAGUAUCUAAUACUGGCUGUCCUUGUGCCUAAAACGCACAAGAUAGCAAGGGCCGGGUAAGACCGGUGCCAGCCGCCGCGGUAACACCGGCGGCCCGAGUGGUAGCCGCUAUUAUUGGGUCUAAAGGGUCCGUAGCCGGUUCGAUAAGUCCUCUGGGAAAUCUGGUUGCUUAACAAUCAGACUGCCAAGGGAUACUGUCGAACUUGAGACCGGGAGAGGUAAGAGGUACUUCAGGGGUAGGAGUGAAAUCUUGUAAUCCCUGGGGGACCAUCUGUGGCGAAGGCGUCUUACCAGAACGGGUCUGACGGUGAGGGACGAAAGCUGGGGGCGCGAACCGGAUUAGAUACCCGGGUAGUCCCAGCCGUAAACGAUGUUCGCUAGGUGUCAGGGGCGGUGCGACCGUUUCUGGUGCCGUAGGGAAGCCGUGAAGCGAACCACCUGGAAGUACGCCGCAAGGC